rnacentral:misc_RNA from 1 species
UUAUUUUAUUUAGAGUCAGACACGAUCACGAUCAAGUCGCAUUGAUCAUCUACUUCUCGCUGAACGAACGCGAAGCCUCCUGUAGAAAUAAUUUUACGGAUAAAUGGCCGCUGCUCAAGUUAACAGGAUGAAAAUAUUGAGCCUGUACAGAGAAAUGCUACGGGAAGCACAGAAAUUCACUGGAUAUAAUUACAGGACGUAUGCAGUGAGGAGGAUACGAGAUGCCUUUCAAGAACACAAGGCAGAAACAAAUCCAGAGCUUAUAGAAGGAUACAUCAAGAAGGCUGAGGAUAAUUUGAACAUUAUCAGAAGACAGGCCACCAUCAGCCAACUUUACAGGGAACCUAAGCUGGUUAUUGAAAGUGAUUCAGUGAAGACAAGCUAACCAAAGAAAGUGUCAACUUAUGGACAGUUUCCUAUGCAAAUAAGAAGGAUGAUUUUAAAGGUGCAAGAUCCUGGCGCUGUUGGACAAAAUGUGUACUCACCGCCAUCUUCAUUAUGAAGAUCAUCAACAAAAUUUUGCAUGCAGCUGUCAAUGACCAGCCAGUCGCGCAGCACAUGCACACAGUACACAUACGCUAUGCUGCAUUUGGCUACACCGGCAUUGGUCCAAAUAUCUUCUGACCUCACUUCACACAGCAGAAGGAGGCAAGAACUAACCUGCCAAGAUCUUUGAACAGCAGCUAGAGUGUACGCGAACUGAGCAUAAGGGCAUUCGGAAGAUGGCAUCUGCGUAACCAUUAUAACAUUUGUGUCAGUGGGCAGCUGGUCCCUCCUGCAUUGCUUGCGUAUUUCAAACAUCUCCCUCUUUAAUGUAAUGCUUU